UACGUAGGGUGCAAGCGUUAAUCGGAAUUACUGGGCGUAAAGCGUGCGCAGGCGGUUAUAUAAGUCAGAUGUGAAAUCCCCGGGCUCAACCUGGGCACUGCAUUUGAGACUGUAUGGCUAGAGUGUGUCAGAGGGGGGUAGAAUUCCACGUGUAGCAGUGAAAUGCGUAGAUAUGUGGAGGAAUACCGAUGGCGAAGGCAGCCCCCUGGGAUAACACUGACGCUCAUGCACGAAAGCGUGGGGAGCAAACAGG
rnacentral:rRNA from 2 species